AUGUACCUUGUAUUUCCCUUCUUACCGUCCCUUUCCUGUGUCCCUAACCACCUACAAUUGCUUCUUGGAAUCUUUUUCCCCACCAAUGCUCUAACUUUGGUUAUUAUCUUCAUUUUACAGGAGAGGAGCUUCCAAGUCUGUGAGGAGAGAGCCUUGAAGCUGGAGGGAUGUGAGGUACCUACUGGGCAGAGGGAGCAGGGCCCAGGCAGCAGAAGCAGUGUGUGCCAAUCACAGAGAGAUGUGGUGCAAAGAGGUGAAGCGUGCAGGUACCUAGGGCUUUGCCUGUGA
rnacentral:lncRNA from 1 species